AUUGAACGCUGGCGGCAUGCUUUACACAUGCAAGUCGAACGGUAUCAGGCCGCAAGGUGCUGACGAGUGGCGAACGGGUGAGUAAUGCAUCGGAACGUGCCCAGUCGUGGGGGAUAACGCAGCGAAAGCUGUGCUAAUACCGCAUAUGAUCUAUGGAUGAAAGCGGGGGACCGUAAGGCCUCGCGCGAUUGGAGCGGCCGAUGUCAGAUUAGUUAGUUGGUGGGGUAAAGGCUAAACAAGCCAACGAACUGUAGCUGGUCUGAAGGGACGCCCAGCCACACUGGGACUGAGACACGGCGCAGACUCCUACGGGAGGCAGCAGUGGGAAAUUUUGGACAAUGGGCGCAAGCCUGAUCCAGCAAUGCCGCGUGCAGGAAGAAGGCCUUCGGGUUGUAAACUGCUUUUGUACGGAACGAAACGGCGAGCUCUAAUACAGUUUGCUAAUGACGGUACCGUAAGAAUAAGCACCGGCUAACUACGUGCCAGCCGCCGCAGUAA
rnacentral:rRNA from 1 species